rnacentral:rRNA from 1 species
GACAGAGGAUGCAAGCGUUAUCCGGAAUGAUUGGGCGUAAAGCGUCUGUAGGUGGCUUUUUAAGUCCGCCGUCAAAUCCCAGGGCUCAACCCUGGACAGGCGGUGGAAACUACAAAGCUUGAGUACUUAAGAGGAUCGCGGAAUUCCUGGUGUAGCGGUGAAAUGCGCAGAUAUCAGGAGGAACACCGGUGGCGAAGGCGGUUCUCUGGGCAUUACCUGACGCUGAGGAGCGAAAGUGUGGGAGCGAACAGG